AACGAACGCUGGCGGCAUGCCUAACACAUGCAAGUCGAACGAGACCUUCGGGUCUAGUGGCGCACGGGUGCGUAACGCGUGGGAACCUGCCCUUAGGUUCGGAAUAACUCCCCGAAAGGGGUGCUAAUACCGGAUAAUGUCUUCGGACCAAAGAUUUAUCGCCUUUGGAUGGGCCCGCGUUGGAUUAGCUAGUUGGUAGGGUAAAGCCUACCAAGGCGACGAUCCAUAGCUGGUCUGAGAGGAUGAUCAGCCACACUGGGACUGAGACACGGCCCAGACUCCUACGGGAGGCAGCAGUGGGGAAUAUUGGACAAUGGGCGAAAGCCUGAUCCAGCAAUGCCGCGUGAGUGAUGAAGGCCUUAGGGUUGUAAAGCUCUUUUACCCGGGAUGAUAAUGACAGUACCGAGAGAAUAAGCUCCGGCUAACUCCGUG
rnacentral:rRNA from 1 species